UAGAUGUUGUUUGUGUCAGCAACAAAAAAAUCACUGUCUUUUAUGGUAAUUUGAAAAAUUAAAACUUGCAUUCUUCUUAUGAAAUCAAGCAAUGGAAAGUAUGCCUUAGAAAUAUUGAUUUCUAUUAUGUUACCAAACAUUUAUUAAUUAUAUGCUAGAUUUAACAUUUUUAUAUAAUUUAAUCUGGACAUCAUUCUUUUGAGGUGGAUUCUAAAUUUAACUCCAUUAUGAAGAGAAGGAAACUGUUUAAUAGUAAUCCCUGUGUCACCCAGAGUCACACAAUAAGUAGGGAUAUGAAAAUAGUUCUUGGAAGAGAUCAUGAGUACCCUAAUAGUAGUAGUGACAGUGGAGAGGAGGUGGACAAUAAGGUGAAAAGUAGAGGGAACUGAAGGGACGAUGGGAAACCCCUUGUUUGAUUCACCUGUCAGGGUGCCAAAGAAUUAAAGGGGUCAUUUCUAAACUUCGAUGAGGCCUGUCUGUGAUCUUGAAAAACCAUCCUCUCCUUUGAGUCUUCUAUAUAUGCCUUUAAACCUCUCUUUUUAGUUGAAAAGCACUAAGUAGAUUUGGGGCUGAUAUUUCCAGUAAAUCUCUCCAAAUCUCCAACUAGGCCCUAGGGUUAUCUGGAGCAUGGGGACAUAGGUUCUUGUGUCUCCUUGGGGUUACCCUUAAAAAGACCAUUUAACAACCAAUGGAAGUUUAAGAGAUGGGUGAUAGGAAGCAGAAAAGUGUACAGGUAGAUUUGGGGAUUGUCAAAUUGGAGAUCAAUCACCUACAAUUUUUACUUUAUCAUCAGCUUAGCCUUUCUUCCAAAGUUAAAACUCCUUGUCUGAUUAAGGAGAAAAUCAAACAAUAACUUAUAGUUUGUUUUUGUUUUACUUUAAAUCCCAAGUUGAAUGAGACUAGAUCCUAAUAAGCUACAGUUUUGUCUUGUUUUCCCCAACUAGAAAUUACAAUAGAUAAUAUGUUGUCCUUUGUUCUUUGUCAGUGUUGUCAGAUUCUAGUCUUUACAUCUAUUGUUAAUUUUCAUGAUCACUACACCCUCCAUAUUUGGUUACAAAGCUCCAGGCUGCGUAUGUACAAACCAAACAAUAGGCCCGGAAGGACAAAAGUUCAUUCAUGAGAUGGAAUCAGAGCUCCAGCAAGAUAUAGAAGCUAAUUUUUUUUAUUUUAAAUGGGAAUACAACACACAGGACAGAUUAUUCUUGUUGUUUGUACUGUCACAAGGACAGAUAGUUGUAUUUGAAGCUCAUUAUUCUUUCCUUUAUUCCUGCUGAUAAACAUCCACUCAGGCCAUUCAGUGGAAAAGAGGUUGGAACUCAGCAUUGAGAGCUUCCAUUUGCAGAGCUCCUCAAAACACAAAUGAACUUUGAGACAAAACACAAUGAACUGUGUCUUAAAGGUAUAAAAUAGGGGCAAAGAAAUGGGAAAGGGCAUAGCAUCAUCAAAAAUCUUGAAAACUGGAAAGAUGAAAAAGGCAUCCCCAGGUGUAAUGGCUCACACCUGUAA